rnacentral:lncRNA from 10 species
CAUCAACAUGGCACAUGUAUACAUACGUAACAAACUUUCACGUUAUGAACAUGUACUCUAGAACUUAAAGUAUAAUAAAAAAUAAAAGUAAGUAAAUUAAUUAAUUAAUUAAUUAAUUAAAAUAAUUUCUCUCUCUCUCUGGUGAUUUUCCAACUUCUAUUGUAAGAAAAAUUUCUAGUACAAAUUUCGGGACUCUGUUUCUUUCUUUAGGUACCCAGUCUCAACAAACAGAAAUACAUAAUUUUUGCCCAAAGCCCCACUGGGGGUUGGGGGAUUAUCUGGAAUUUUAGGAUCCCUCUUCAGACUAGCUGGCCUGAAAAGUCUAUUCCUGAAGCUAGGAUAUGGGUAGCCUCAGAAUUUUUUUCCUUCCUAUUCAUAUGAUGAGAAGUUAGGACAAAAGAUAUCAUUCUUCCAACCCUAGAGAUCUCUUCCCUCCUUCAGGGUAUGGCCAUCCACUCCGUUUUUGAGGCAUAACAUCUUUAUAGGACGGGAUAAGGUCCCAAUACUGACAGAAGAAAAUGCUUAGAACUCUAACAGGUUUUUAAGAAUGCUUCAGUAAGGGCCACUAAACCUGAUUUUUCUUGGUCCUCUUUGUGUUCUAAGAGAAAAAGCAAAAGUGCAGGUUUUUGAAUAUGUGUCAGUAAGAGCCACUAAAUCUGACCUUGCUCGGUCCUCUUUGUGUUCUAGGAGGAAAACUAGUGUUUCUGCUGCUGUUACGGUGAGCACAACUAUACCGAUCGGCAGGAUGCAGGAACCAUUGCGGGUUCUUGGGCAAGAGGGGGAUCUGCUGCUGCAUCGUUAAGGUGGCAGGAGUGAAGUCUUGGAUUCACCACACCCCACUUAAACUUUGGACACCUGCUAAGGAACCUGCUGGACAAACAGCUCAGGAAUCCAAGGAUCAGCAAGAGUAGGCUAGAUACACCUGUGAGCCAUUGGAGGACUUACAUCUUCUUUUCUGGAAGGAAACAUCCCAGACUAAGAAGACUCUUACAGCUGAUCCUGAGGAAAAAUCCCUUCCUACUUAAAAAGAAUCUUUGCUAGCAGUGACUCUC